AUACGUAGGGUGCGAGCGUUAAUCGGAAUUACUGGGCGUAAAGCGUGCGCAGGCGGUGCUGUAAGACCGAUGUGAAAUCCCCGGGCUUAACCUGGGAACUGCAUUGGUGACUGCAGCGCUGGAGUAUGGCAGAGGGGGGUGGAAUUCCACGUGUAGCAGUGAAAUGCGUAGAGAUGUGGAGGAACACCGAUGGCGAAGGCAGCCCCCUGGGCCAAUACUGACGCUCAUGUACGAAAGCGUGGGGAGCAAACAGGAUUAGAUACCCUGGUAGUCCACGCCCUAAACGAUGUCAACUGGUUGUCGGGCCUUCAUUGGCUUGGUAACGUAGCUAACGCGUGAAGUUGACCGCCUGGGGAGUACGGUCGCAAGAUUAAA
rnacentral:rRNA from 1 species